rnacentral:tRNA from 1 species
GUUCCAGUAGCUCAGCUGGAUAGAGCAACAGCCUUCUAAGCUGUGGGCCGGGGGUUCGAAUCCCUCCUGGAACGCCA